rnacentral:sRNA from 1 species
UAGAGGCGGCAGAGACAGGAACGGAGCCAAGGCGAUGGAGGCAGGAGGCAGGAGGGAAACCAGCCG